AGACCCGAAACCCGGUGAUCUAGCCAUGGGCAGGUUGAAGGUUGGGUAACACUAACUGGAGGACCGAACCGACUAAUGUUGAAAAAUUAGCGGAUGACCUGUGGCUGGGGGUGAAAGGCCAAUCAAACCGGGAGAUAGCUGGUUCUCCCCGAAAGCUAUUUAGGUAGCGCCUCGUGAAUUCAUCUCCGGGGGUAGAGCACUGUUUCGGCUAGGGGGCCAUCCCGGCUUACCAACCCGAUGCAAACUGCGAAUACCGGAGAAUGUUAUCACGGGAGACACACGGCGGGUGCUAACGUCCGUCGUGAAGAGGGAAACAACCCAGACCGCCAGCUAAGGUCCCAAAGUCAUGGUUAAGUGGGAAACGAUGUGGGAAGGCCCAGACAGCCAGGAUGUUGGCUUAGAAGCAGCCAUCAUUUAAAGAAAGCGUAAUAGCUCACUGGUCGAGUCGGCCUGCGCGGAAGAUGUAACGGGGCUAAACCAUGCACCGAAGCUGCGGCAGCGACACUCAGGUGUUGUUGGGUAGGGGAGCGUUCUGUAAGCCUGCGAAGGUGGCCUGUGAGGGUUGCUGGAGGUAUCAGAAGUGCGAAUGCUGACAUAAGUAACGAUAAAGCGGGUGAAAAGCCCGCUCGCCGGAAGACCAAGGGUUCCUGUCCAACGUUAAUCGGGGCAGGGUGAGUCGACCCCUAAGGCGAGGCCGAAAGGCGUAGUCGAUGGGAAACGGGUUAAUAUUCCCGUACUUGGUGUUACUGCGAAGGGGGGACGGAGAAGGCUAUGUUGGCCGGGCGACGGUUGUCCCGGUUUAAGCGUGUAGGUGUGUGUUCCAGGUAAAUCCGGUUCACUUUAACACUGAGGCGUGACGACGAGGCACUACGGUGCUGAAGCAACAAAUGCCCUGCUUCCAGGAAAAGCCUCUAAGCAUCAGGUAACGUCAAAUCGUACCCCAAACCGACACAGGUGGUCAGGUAGAGAAUACCAAGGCGCUUGAGAGAACUCGGGUGAAGGAACUAGGCAAAAUGGUGCCGUAACUUCGGGAGAAGGCACGCUGACACGUAGGUGAAGUGAUUUACUCACGGAGCUGAAGUCAGUCGAAGAUACCAGCUGGCUGCAACUGUUUAUUAAAAACACAGCACUGUGCAAACACGAAAGUGGACGUAUACGGUGUGACGCCUGCCCGGUGCCGGAAGGUUAAUUGAUGGGGUCAGCGCAAGCGAAGCUCCUGAUCGAAGCCCCGGUAAACGGCGGCCGUAACUAUAACGGUCCUAAGGUAGCGAAAUUCCUUGUCGGGUAAGUUCCGACCUGCACGAAUGGCGUAAUGAUGGCCAGGCUGUCUCCACCCGAGACUCAGUGAAAUUGAACUCGCUGUGAAGAUGCAGUGUACCCGCGGCAAGACGGAAAGACCCCGUGAACCUUUACUAUAGCUUGACACUGAACAUUGAGCCUUGAUGUGUAGGAUAGGUGGGAGGCUUUGAAGUGUGGACGCCAGUCUGCAUGGAGCCGACCUUGAAAUACCACCCUUUAAUGUUUGAUGUUCUAACGUGGACCCGUGAUCCGGGUUGCGGACAGUGUCUGGUGGGUAGUUUGACUGGGGCGGUCUCCUCCUAAAGAGUAACGGAGGAGCACGAAGGUUGGCUAAUCCUGGUCGGACAUCAGGAGGUUAGUGCAAUGGCAUAAGCCAGCUUGACUGCGAGCGUGACGGCGCGAGCAGGUGCGAAAGCAGGUCAUAGUGAUCCGGUGGUUCUGAAUGGAAGGGCCAUCGCUCAACGGAUAAAAGGUACUCCGGGGAUAACAGGCUGAUACCGCCCAAGAGUUCAUAUCGACGGCGGUGUUUGGCACCUCGAUGUCGGCUCAUCACAUCCUGGGGCUGAAGUAGGUCCCAAGGGUAUGGCUGUUCGCCAUUUAAAGUGGUACGCGAGCUGGGUUUAGAACGUCGUGAGACAGUUCGGUCCCUAUCUGCCGUGGGCGCUGGAGAACUGAGGGGGGCUGCUCCUAGUACGAGAGGACCGGAGUGGACGCAUCACUGGUGUUCGGGUUGUCAUGCCAAUGGCACUGCCCGGUAGCUAAAUGCGGAAGAGAUAAGUGCUGAAAGCAUCUAAGCACGAAACUUGCCCCGAGAUGAGUUCUCCCUGAGACUUAGAGUCUCCUGAAGGAACGUUGAAGACGACGACGUUGAUAGGCCGGGUGUGUAAGCGCAGCGAUGCGUUGAGCUAACCGGUACUAAUGAACCGUGAGGCUUAACCUUACA
rnacentral:rRNA from 1 species